ACGUGGUUUAAUUCGAUGCAAACCGAAGAACCUUUACCUGGGGUUUGACAUGCAGGUGGUAGAGAGAAGAGAUUUAAUCGACUCUGCAGUAAUGCAGAGAGCCUGCACAGGUGCUGCAUGGCUGUCGUCAGCUCGUGUCGUGAAAUGUUGGGUUAAGUCCCGCAACGAGCGCAACCCCUAUUGCCAGUUGCUAACAGGAGAGCUGAGCACUCUGGCGAGACUGCCGCCGACAAGGCGGAGGAAGGUGGGGAUGACGUCAAGUCAUCAUGGCCUUUAUGCCCAGGGCUACACACGUGCUACAAUGGCCGGCACAGACGGCAGCUUAGUGGCGACACUUGGCAAAUCCUCUAAAGCCGGUCCCAGUUCGGAUUGCAGUCUGCAACUCGACUGCAUGAAGCCGGAAUCGCUAGUAAUCGCAGAUCAGCCAAGCUGCGGUGAAUACGUUCCCGGGCCUU
rnacentral:rRNA from 1 species